UNGGAGAGGAAAGUGGAAUUCCUAGUGUAGCGGUGAAAUGCGUAGAUAUUAGGAAGAACACCAGUGGCGAAGGCGACUUUCUGGACGAAAACUGACGCUGAGGCGCGAAAGCCNGGGGAGCGAACGGGAUUAGAUACCCCGGUAGUCCUGGCCGUAAACGAUGGGUACUAGGUGUAGGAGGUAUCGACCCCUUCUGUGCCGGAGUUAACGCAAUAAGUACCCCGCCUGGGGAGUACGACCGCAAGGUUGAAACUCAAAGGAAUUGACGGGGGCCCGCACAAGCGGUGGAGUAUGUGGUUUAAUUCGACGCAACGCGAAGAACCUUACCAGGUCUUGACAUUGAUGGACAGAACCAGAGAUGGUUCCUCUUCUUCGGAAGCCAGAAAACAGGUGGUGCACGGUUGUCGUCAGCUCGUGUCGUGAGAUGUUGGGUUAAGUCCCGCUACGAGCGCAACCCCUAUCUUAUGUUGCCAGCACGUAAAGGUGGGAACUCAUGAGAGACUGCCGCAGACAAUGCGGAGGAAGGCGGGGAUGACGUCAAAUCAUCAUGCCCCUUAUGACCUGGGCUACACACGUACUACAAUGGGAGUUAAUAGACGGAAGCGAGAUCGCGAGAUGGAGCAAACCCGAGAAACACUCUCUCAGUUCGGAUCGUAGGCUGCAACUCGCCUACGUGAAGUCGGAAUCGCUAGUAAUCGCAGGUCAGCAUACUGCGGUGAAUACGUUCCCGGGCCUUGUACACACCGCCCGUCACACCACGAAAGUCGGAAGUGUCC
rnacentral:rRNA from 1 species